ACCCCUCCCCUGCUCACACUCUGUGUCUCUCUGUCUCUCAGUAAUAAAUAAACGUUAAAAUUUUUUUUAAAAGAAAAGUUACACAAAUAUUCAGUAAUACCAGUUUGUUGUUUUACCUUGAGUGGCUUCAAAACAUUGCGUACCUAAGUGACAUUAUUGGCCCCAGAAAAAUCUUUGGAGAAAGUACAAAUGAAUAAAAUUACAGGACUGAAAUCUUUGGACUCUAAAAUUUGAGAGGCCUGUCCAUAAAUGAGUUCUCAUUUCCAAACUGAAUUUAUCACUUACCAUUAAUCUGUGCAAAUUGUGAUUGAUUUUAGAAAAUCUGUGAAAAGUUGAGUUUUUAGAAACUGGAGAAUUUUACAGCUCUGAAUGGCUUUCUUCAAAGUAGUAACUCCUAGAAUCAUGUAUUUUUCUUUCUUUAUUUUUUAUUUAUUUUUGAGAGUGAGAGACAGAGCAUGAGCAGGGGAGGGGCAGAGAAAGAAGGAGACACAGAAUCUGCAGUGGGCUCCAGGCUCUGAGCUGUCAGCACAGAGCCCAAUGCGGGGCUUGAAGUCAGGAACCGUGAGAUCAUGACCUGUGCUGAAGUCGAAUGCUCAACUCACUGAGCCACCCAGGCACCCCAGAACCAUCUAUUUUUUAAUUCAAGAGUGUCACAUAGGAUUAUGGUUUAUAAUUUUUCAAAUUCUACUUAUUUUGUUUUGAAUGGGUAAAAAACCACCAUAACUUGUAAAGUCUGAGCACAUCACAUACUUUAGAUAAUGGGAAUUGUUAGCUAACAUUAAUUGAACACUUGUGAUACCCGAUACUAUCCUAAACCUUUUGCAUCUUGGAAUAAUUGAAUCUCCCUAACAACCCAAUAAGGUAGACACUAUUGUGAUUUCCAUUUCACAGAUCAGGAAACGGAGAUAAUGACAAAUGAAGUGACUCUUUCUGAGGACUAACAGAUGUAAGUGGAGGAAUCAGAAUUUGGAUCCAGGAUGGAAACAAAGCCUACACUUACAAGAUGUGCAGAGGAGAAAGGUUUACCACAGCUGCUCAAGGAAGAUGGACCCAGAAUAAGAAAUUUUCUACUUGGAUUUGGGGAAACAGUAAAUUCAUUCAGUAAGUUCAUUCCAACCUACAAAGGAAGAACAGAUUCAAGGAGUUGAAGCUUGGAGCUGGGUAAAGAAUUCACCUUAAUAAGGAUCGAUGGAAUAAUUUUGAGGGAUUGGUGUGAGCAGAGACUUACAUGGUCUGUUGAAUAGUAGACAUUUCAAGCUUUUGGAGAAGACUGAUAAUUAUAGAGCAGACUGAAGAAGGAUGAACCUAUCAAAGGGGAGAGGUCAAAAUGGCUGAUGGAUUAUAUAUACAUGAUCAUGUCAGUAAGUAUUUACAGCUCUUGUUUUAAUUUAAACGUCUGUAGCUAAUUCAUUUACAAAAAUCUUAACAUAGGUUAAAUCCUAUACAGAAUGGCAUCUAUUUUUAGUGUGUGGUGGGAAGGGUUAAAUGAUAGUUUUGACAGUUAAUUGUUCAUACCUACCGUAAACAUUUUAGUUACUUCUAAACACCAAAUGUAGAACUAGAGAGUGGUCUGUGUGAUCAUAGUCAACACAUACAUUGUACAGAUGAAUUAAUCCAGACAAGCUAAGCAACUGGUUCGAAGGUGCACAACCUUCUAUUCCAAGUCUAGUUUCUAGAAUGUAAGUACCACCACAUGUGUAUGCUCCUUAUUUUAUCUACAGAGAACCCUGAACAUAGCUUGGUGUGUUCACAUACUGAAUAUGCCCAAAUUCACAGAGCAAGGGGGCAGCGGGUCUGCAGUUAGAAAGCCGUCUUUUUACACCUCAUUUGUUGACACCACCUUGUAUGGAUAGUUUAUUUUGUCCCCCCAGCUGCCUAAGAAAGAGGGAAAAUUCAUUUUACCCACAGUGCCUAGCACAAUGAUUGACGCAUAGCAAGAACUGUUAGCUGAAUCUAAGUUAAAUAUGAACAAUGGACGCCACAAUCCCAAACAAAUGUCGCAGACAGAGCAGGACUGAGAAACCAAGGAUUUGUGAAAUUCGUGGCAUGAAGACAGCUCACCUGAAUAAUUACAACAAUAAACUAGUUAUUUAGGGACCA
ensembl:lncRNA